rnacentral:tRNA from 1 species
CAGGAAAUACCUUAAUUUAAAGUACUUCGCUUACACCGAAACAAUAUUUGUGAAAAUCAAAUUUUCCUGAG